rnacentral:rRNA from 1 species
ACUCAAAGGAAUUGACGGGGGCCCGCACAAGUGGUGGAGCAUGUGGUUUAAUUCGACGCUACGCGAAGAACCUUACCCGGGUUUGAAUUGCAGUGGUUGUAGUCAGUAGAGAUACUGGCGAGGGGGCAACCCCGCUGCUGUGAAGGUGCUGCAUGGCUGUCGUCAGCUCGUGCCGUGAGGUGUUGGGUUAAGUCCCGCAACGAGCGCAACCCUUAUCUUUAGUUGCCAGCAUGUUAUGGUGGGCACUCUGGAGAGACUGCCGACACAAGUCGGAGGAAGGUGGGGAUGACGUCAAGUCAGCAUGGCCCUUACGUCCGGGGCUACACACGUGCUACAAUGGUCGGUACAACGGGCAGCGAGACCGUGAGGUGGAGCGAAUCCCUUUAAAGCCGAUCUCAGUUCGGAUUGUAGGCUGCAACUCGCCUACAUGAAGUUGGAAUCACUAGUAACCGCAGAUCAGCUACGCUGUGGUGAAUACGUUCCCGGGCCUUGUACACACCGCCCGU